GACACGUUCAGUAGAAUUCGCGGGUGACUUGAGUGAACAAGGCUCAACACAUUGGACACGGGCUGACUAAUCUCGCACUAGAUGAAAAUAUGUGAUUGUAGCCUAUGCUGUCUGGUUUCAUCUUGCAUUUCUCAUGGUGAUGAAUUUCAAGCUCUGCUCUACCGGUAUGUUUUCUCUGACUCUUGUUAAACAAGUAUUAUCAAGGUAAGGCAGAAUUUAUUCAUAUCUUAGCACGCAUAACAUUAAUACAUAUCUCCGAUAAGCAAUAACGGACUCAAAUUGGAAUCAUUACCACUAAAAUACAAGUUUCAAAUAAAAGUGCAUCUAUAUGUUACACAUUUAUAGUGAGGUAUAUGCAUUAUGUAUAGAUAUCUGAUCUCCUCUUAUCGAUACUGUAAUGCUUUUAAAUUGACAUUCUUCAUCAAAUUGUCCACCUUUAUCAGUAUUGGUAUUCCUCUUAUCUCUUCUCUUAUGUUCUUGUUAAAAUUAUUCGAUCUUCUAUUCUCCUUUAUGUUCAUUUUUCUGCAAAGUUUAAUGUGAACUCGAACUUCUUAGAACUUUUUACAACUUUCAAACUUUCAGUGAGAAGGUUGCAUACACAAUUUAUGCUCACAUGCACUUUAUUCAGGUCUCGCUCCAACGUAUAUGCAAUCACAAAUUUCCAUAAUCCAUCCGAAAUUAUACCUCACCCGGUAAUGCACAUGAAUUCUCGAUUUUAUUGUUGCUCUAUUCAAAUACGGUUGUUGGCAGGCAUGUCCGUCCCUACUUGCUGCAAAGAAAGUCGACGCACUUUCGUGUGCGAGUGCCUGUAGGCCUACUAUAUAGCUAGGGGGGGGGGAGUGGAAUAGGUGUUGUAAAUUUGCCGAGAACAUGCAGGCUAUGUUGUGUGUUGGCACGUGAUAAGUUGACGAGAGCGGGGAGUCUUCAGGGCAACUUCAAGUAGACUAACGUGCUCUCUGUUUUCAGUUUUCUUCCCUCAAAUUUGAUUUCUGCUUCAAACUGACCAGUUUUGGGUCAGAUUUUGGGCCUUAUUCAAGUCAUGUAAUCGAAUAACCGAGAUUACACACUACUGUACCAAAUCAUGUUUUCCCAAAAUACUAGUUGUGUUUUUUAUUCAAUUACGGGUACUAUCAAGCAUAAUAAAUGUAGUUUGUACUGUGCGCACACAAUACGUUUAUUUAUUCAAUUAUUUUAAAGUUUUAUUAAUAUUAUUUUAUUCAAUAUGUAACUCAAUUCAAAUCAUUUUGGCAAGACUUAUUCUGAAUGACUUUUGAAUGAUACAACCUGUAUCACUUUUUAUUUUUUAUUGAAUUCUUAUUGUAUUGUUUUACUGAAUACUUGUCAUGUGGGUGAAAUAAUAGAUCUAUAUUCUUCAAACUAAACCCGUUAUUAUUGUCAUAUUUCAAUGAUUGCAGUAUUAUUUUUACAGCAAUUAUAAUAGUUAACCGAAUAUUAUACUAUCCCAUUAUAUUUUAUAGUACAGAUGUGUGUUUUUAAACUAUGUCGAAUGUGUGAAUGUGCCAUGUGAAUGGAACAGCAUAAUCCACACGAUAGAAGUGCAAUAAUACUCAAUGGUGGUAUAGAGUACUUAGAGUGCAGUGUAAUAGUAUUCUUGUGGUCUUCUCUUCUGGGAAUUUCCCGCUAGUUCCAAUCUUCUUCUAUAGAACGAGAUAUUCUUCUCCUAUCUACAUCGUCAGGACCACAAUCACGUACCCAUCUCUACUAUCUGUUUCUAUCUCUAGCCGUUUGUGGUCUCCCGCCCAAAUUGCUGUUCAAUUUGUUGAAGAACUUUUAUGGUUGCGAUGAUCAAACCUUGAGACGCUUGUCCUACCCCACGCUGCAUUGUUUUCACUCUCUCGCAUCACGCGCGCAAAAUGUGUCCUUUUCAAUUUGCGCCGCGCCGCUAAGUGCACGAUUCUCGGCGCAUUGCUGUUCACGACCGUGUGAGGUCACUCGCCUCAUGAUGGCCUAGUCACUGCUUCACUAAAUGAACCUCUCACAACUGAAUCUGUAAACCUGUAACGACAAAAACCAAAUAUCCACUGCUAAAACUCAGAAGAAACUCCUAAUCAGAAGUUUCCAGUAUGAAUUGAGCAGAGAAUGUUUAGUUGCAUAAUAGUAUUAUUAAAAUGCAACUGAAGGAAUAUCCACACGCUACGUUGUAUUUUAAGGCCUCAUGGAUAAUCUCAGUUGAGAAUGAAAAAUCUCUACAGAGAUGAAUUUGAAUAUCAUAACCUCAAAAUUUCAUGAGAAAAAAUAAUAUUCAUAAGACACAGCUACAUGCU
rnacentral:lncRNA from 1 species